UUGCUAGGUGGGGUUCGCUGGGGACCAUAACCAGUGGAAUUGUUGGUAAGAACUUUUUUUUUCUAUUUCUUUUUCUUUCUGUUUUUCUGUUUUUAUUUUUGUUUUUGUUUUUAGUUUAUUUACAAGUGGGACAUUAGUUGUGGGAAAAUGUUGCCCAUUAUCUUGUAAGCAGGAAAUUAUGUUGGCUUUAAGGAAAAAUAAGUGUCUAAGUAGAAUUUGUAUUCUCAACAGGAACAUAUAAUAAAUACCUAACUCAUUUUCAAAUUAGUAGAUCAGCAGAAUAUUAAGAUAUGAAAUUUUCCAGUUACAAUUUAUCAAACCAUACCUUACAAUCUAGAAUAUCUGUUGAAGCAAUAAUGAUAUUUUACUGUGAUUUUAGUCUCUCUGGUAUCAUCUAUUACAUUUUUAUAGGAUAUUAGUGUAUAAGUAUUUUAAGAGAUUUAUUGUACACUAAUGUUUAAUGAAAAUGAGAAGGUAUUGCCUAGAUUGGAGGGUUUAAAUAGUAUAUAUAUUUUUUAAUUCUAUAAAAUUUUAAUAUUGCAAAAUUAAACUUGAGAAUUCUGGCAGUUUAAUAAAAUAGUAGUAUUGGUUUUAAAGAUCCGUUUAUAUAGUAACUUAGGAUCCAGAGGAAGUUUACGUGGCUGCAGUCUUGAGACCUAGAGCAUAAGUAGAAACAAAGGUGGGGCUGAGGACGUGGGUUAGUGAGAGCUUGUAUUUAACAAUGUUAGAGGCACUAAGUUCAGUCCUCAGCACCCCGUACUAGGUAAAAAUAAAACAAUUAGUAAAUACUGCUAGAGUCAACAGUCUAGAUUCCUAGACAUGGAAAUGGUGAACUAACUGCCUGAGGUGUGCUUACCUGGAAUCCCAGCACUGGGGGAGUAUGAGCCCCAGGCUGGCACACAAUGGAAACUUGCCUCAAAAAAGACCAAGGCUCAGGAUGUAGUUCAGUGGUAGAGCGCUUGCCUGACAUACAUAAAGCUCUAGGUCAAUGCCUAGUAGCACAAAAAAAUUAAACAGCUAAAAACAAAAAUCCUCCCAGCUUAUACUCAGGGUAUAUCAUGAUGAUUGAGUAUAAAUUGAGGGAAACCAAUUUAACAACUAGGCAAAAAUAAUUAUAAUUUGUGACACUGAAUAAAAGUAAUUGCAAGUGUUGAUGUUUGAAGAGCUGCCUCAGUAUUCUUGUGGACCUUUGCGUUCUGGUGGCAGUGUCAGUCUAGAACCUGGUAGGCAUUACACAUGUGCUAGUCAGCACUGGGACUGACGUGCUUAGCUCUUGGUGUCACAGUGAAGUCACGUGCUUAGCUCUUGGUGUCACAGUGAAGUCGUGCAGAAUCACUAGCAGUUUCAGGGUUGAGUUAAGGUUUUGUUCCUUUGUCCACAUUUUAUUGUGCGUGCAUCAGUGCCAGAAAAAGUGAGGUGUAGAACUUGGUUGCUUGCACUAAACAGCUUCUUGGGAAUAAAGUUAAUGGUGUUAGGGACAUUCAAUUUGGAUGAGUUUGUGUAAAUUAAGAGAAAUAACAGUACAAUUUAUUAACCAUAUGCAUUUGCAACAAAAUACACUUGAUGGGACCAGAAAGGAAGUGGGCGCUAUGGAAGAACUCUUAAAUUGCUCCAAUAAGGGGCUUCCAGUCCAUGUAGCAGCUGUGUCAGGAUCUCAGAACAUUACUUACUGUGGUUUUUCACAGGUAAAGAUUUGGCUAAAGAGGUGCUUCUGGCCUGCUAAAGAAAAUAGGUGGAAUUGUACUUUAAAGAGUCACUGCAGUAUUUAGAGUUAUGUUCUCUGGCUAUUUCUAGAAUUGGACAGAAAAUGCCUACAAAACACUAAAAAACUUUCUGGUGUACUACAGUACAGUAACAUGAGAUAUAUCCAAAUUGGGACAGUUACAUGACAUGUCCAUUUAAUCAUUUCAAGAAAAACCUGCUUUUGGUACAGUGUUCAUGUACCAUACCUGUAUUGGAAUAUUUGUAUGAUGUUAAUAUUUUUAAUAAAAUUUAACAUGUUCAAAA
rnacentral:lncRNA from 1 species